CAGUCGCCGCGGUAAGACGGAGGGUGCUAGCGUUGUUCGGAAUCACUGGGCGUAAAGGGCGCGUAGGCGGCCUGUUAAGUCGGAUAUGAAAGCCCGGGGCUCAACCCCGGAACUGCAUCCGAGACUGGCAGGCUUGAGACCGGGAGAGGAGGGUGGAAUAUCCAGUGUAGAGGUGAAAUUCGUAGAUAUUGGAUGGAACACCGGUGGCGAAAGCGGCUCUCUGGCCCGGAUCUGACGCUGAGGCGCGAAAGCGUGGGGAGCAAACAGGAUUAGAUACCCGCGUAGUCCCUGUCUCUUAUAC
rnacentral:rRNA from 1 species